GUGCCAGCAGCCGCGGUAAUACGUAGGGGGCAAGCGUUGUCCGGAAUUAUUGGGCGUAAAGCGCGCGCAGGCGGUCUUUUAAGUCUGAUGUGAAAGCCCACGGCUUAACCGUGGAGGGUCAUUGGAAACUGGAGGACUUGAGUGCAGAAGAGGAGAGUGGAAUUCCACGUGUAGCGGUGAAAUGCGUAGAGAUGUGGAGGAACACCAGUGGCGAAGGCGACUCUCUGGUCUGUAACUGACGCUGAGGUGCGAAAGCGUGGGUAGCGAACAGGAUUAGAUACCCUGGUAGUCC
rnacentral:rRNA from 1 species